UUGGAGGGCAAGUCUGGUGCCAGCAGCCGCGGUAAUUCCAGCUCCAAUAGCGUAUAUUAAAGUUGUUGCAGUUAAAAAGCUCGUAGUUGAAUUUCGGGAUCAAUAUAUCGGUCGUGCCUUCGGUAUGUACUGGUAUUAUUGGUUUCUCCUUUCUGACACACUAUGAUGUCAUUAAUUUGGUGUCAUGGGGAAUCAGGACUGUUACUUUGAAAAAAUUAGAGUGUUUAAAGCAGGCACACGCUUGAAUACAUUAGCAUGGAAUAAUGAAAUAGGACGUUUGACCCUAUUUUGUUGGUUUCUAGGAUCGACGUAAUGAUUAAUAGGGAUAGUUGGGGGCAUUAGUAUUCAAUUGUCAGAGGUGAAAUUCUUGGAUUUAUUGAAGACUAACUACUGCGAAAGCAUUUGCCAAGGAUGUUUUCAUUAAUCAAGAACGAAAGUUAGGGGAUCGAAGACUAUCAGAUACCGUCGUAGUCUUAACCAUAAACUAUGCCGACUAGGGAUCGGACGAUGUUAAUUUUUCUUGACUCGUUCGGCGCCUUACGGGAAAC
rnacentral:rRNA from 1 species